AUUGAACGCUGGCGGCAUGCCUUACACAUGCAAGUCGAACGGUAACGCGGGGCAACCUGGCGACGAGUGGCGAACGGGUGAGUAAUGUAUCGGAACGUGCCCAGUUGUGGGGGAUAACUGCUCGAAAGAGCAGCUAAUACCGCAUACGACCUGAGGGUGAAAGCGGGGGAUCGCAAGACCUCGCGCAGUUGGAGCGACCGAUAUCAGAUUAGGUAGUUGGUGGGGUAAAGGCUCACCAAGCCAACGAUCUGUAGCUGGUCUGAGAGGACGACCAGCCACACUGGGACUGAGACACGGCCCAGACUCCUACGGGAGGCAGCAGUGGGGAAUUUUGGACAAUGGGGGCAACCCUGAUCCAGCCAUGCCGCGUGCGGGAAGAAGGCCUUCGGGUUGUAAACCGCUUUUGUCAGGGAAGAAAAGACUCCUGUUAAUACCGGGGGUUCAUGACGGUACCUGAAGAAUAAGCACCGGCUAACUACGUGCCAGCCGCCGCCGUAACAC
rnacentral:rRNA from 1 species